rnacentral:rRNA from 1 species
CCUACGGGGGGCAGCAGUGGGGAAUAUUGGACAAUGGGCGAAAGCCUGAUCCAGCCAUGCCGCGUGUGUGAAGAAGGCCUUCGGGUUGUAAAGCACUUUCAGUGGGGAAGAAAGCCUUGGGGCUAAUACCCUCGAGGAAGGACAUCACCCACAGAAGAAGCACCGGCUAACUCCGUGCCAGCAGCCGCGGUAAUACGGAGGGUGCGAGCGUUAAUCGGAAUUACUGGGCGUAAAGCGCGCGUAGGCGGUCUGAUAAGCCGGUUGUGAAAGCCCCGGGCUCAACCUGGGAACGGCAUCCGGAACUGUCAGGCUAGAGUACAGGAGAGGAAGGUAGAAUUCCCGGUGUAGCGGUGAAAUGCGUAGAGAUGGGGAGGAAUACCAGUGGCGAAGGCGGCCUUCUGGACUGACACUGACGCUGAGGUGCGAAAGCGUGGGUAGCAAACAGGAUUAGAUACCCGAGUAGUC